rnacentral:rRNA from 1 species
AGCGAACGCUGGCGGCGUGCCUAAUACAUGCAAGUCGAACGUGAACGGCUUCGGCCUAGUAAAGUGGCGUACGGGUGAGUAAUACGUAGGUAAUCUACCCUUCAGUACGGAAUAACCUGCCGAAAGGCGGGCUAAUACCGAAUAGGGCGAGGAGCUCGAAUGAGCACCUCGGGAAAGGGAGCCCGCAAGGGCCCUCGCUGAUGGAUGAGCCUGCGUCCCAUUAGUUAGUUGGCAGGGUAAUGGCCUACCAAGACGAUGAUGGGUAGCUGGUCUGAGAGGAUGAUCAGCCACACUGGAACUGAAACACGGUCCAGACUCCUACGGGAGGCAGCAGUAGGGAAUAUUGCGCAAUGGACGCAAGUCUGACGCAGCAACGCCGCGUGAGUGAAGAAGGCCUUCGGGUUGUAAAGCUCUGUCUAGUGGGAAGAACAGCCAGUCGGUUCAUAGCCGAUUGGUCUGACGGUACCACUGGAGGAAGCACCGGCUAACCUCGUGCCAGCAGCCGCGGUAAUACGAGGGGUGCAAGCGUUGCUCGGAAUUAUUGGGCGUAAAGGGUAGGUAGGUGGUCCUAUUUGUCAAAGGUGAAAUCCCUGGGCUUAACCCAGGACGUGCCUUUGAAACGGUGGGACUGGAGUGCUGGAGAGGGUCGCGGAAUUCCCGGUGUAGCGGUGAAAUGCGUAGAGAUCGGGAGGAACACCAGAGGCGAAGGCGGCGACCUGGACAGUGACUGACGCUAAACUACGAAAGCGUGGGGAGCAAACAGGAUUAGAUACCCUGGUAGUCCACGCUGUAAACGAUCAGUACUAGACUUGGUGGGAUUUGACCCUUGCCGAGUCGGAGCUAACGCAAUAAGUACUGCGCCUGGGGAGUACGGUCGCAAGAUUAAAACUCAAAGGAAUUGACGGGGGCCCGCACAAGCGGUGGAUCAUGUGGUUUAAUUCGAAGCAACGCGAAGAACCUUACCUGGGUUUGACAUCCCCUGACAUCUCUAGAAAUAGAGCUUUCGUAGCAAUACGACAGGGUGACAGGUGCUGCAUGGCUGUCGUCAGCUCGUGUGGUGACAUGUUGGGUUAAGUCCCGCAACGAGCGCAACCCCUGUCCUUAGUUGCCAUCAUUAAGUUGGGCACUCUAAGGAGACUGCCGUGGUUAACACGGUGGAAGGUGGGGAUGACGUCAAGUCCUCAUGGCCCUUACAUCCAGGGCGACACACGUGAUACAAUGGUCGGUACAGAGGGAAGCAAAAGGGCGACCUGGAGCUAAUCUCAAAAAACCGAUCUCAGUUCGGAUUGAAGUCUGCAACUCGACUUCAUGAAGGUGGAAUCGCUAGUAAUCGCGAGUCAGCAUUAUCGCGGUGAAUACGUUCCCGGGCCUUGUACACACCGCCCGUCACACCAUGGGAGCUGACUCAACCAGAAGACAGAUCGGGUAACCGUAAGGAGCCCGCUGGCCAAGGUGGGGUUGGUGACUGGGGUG